rnacentral:rRNA from 1 species
AACGAACGCUGGCGGCAUGCCUAACAUAUGCAAGUCGAACGAGACCUUCGGGUCUAGUGGCGCACGGGUGCGUAACGCGUGGGAACCUGCCCUUAGGUUCGGAAUAACUCCCCGAAAGGGGUGCUAAUACCGGAUAAUGUCUUCGGACCAAAGAUUUAUCGCCUUUGGAUGGGCCCGCGUUGGAUUAGCUAGUUGGUAGGGUAAAAGCCUACCAAGGCGACGAUCCAUAGCUGGUCUGAGAGGAUGAUCAGCCACACUGGGACUGAGACACGGCCCAGACUCCUACGGGAGGCAGCAGUGGGGAAUAUUGGAAAAGGGGCGAAAGCCUGAUCCAGCAAGGCCGCGUGAGUGAUGAAGGCCUUAGGGUUGUAAAGCUCUUUUACCCGGGAGGAUAAUGACAGUACCGGGAGAAUAAGCGCCGGCUAACUCCGUG